rnacentral:misc_RNA from 1 species
UUCUCUAGCUCCUCCAGUUGGGGGCC